rnacentral:rRNA from 1 species
AUUGAACGCUGGCGGCAUGCUUUACACAUGCAAGUCGAACGGCAGCGCGGGCUUCGGCCUGGCGGCGCGUGGCGCACGGGUGAGUAAUACAUCGGAACAUGCCCAGUAGUGGGGGAUAGCUCGGCGAAAGCCGGAUUAAUACCGCAUGCGACCUGCGGGUGAAAGCGGGGGAUGUUUGGACCUUGCGCUAUUGGAGCGGCCGAUGGCCGAGUAGCUAGUUGGUGGGGUAAAGGCCUACUAAGGCGACGAUCUGUAGCUGGUCGGCGAGGACGACCGGCCACCUGGGGACUGGGACACGCCCCAGACUCCUACGGGAGGCAGCAGAGGGGAAUUUUGGACAAUGGGCGAAAGCCUGAUCCAGCAAGGCCGAGUGUGAUAUGAAGGCCUCCGGGUUGUAAAGCAGUUUUGGCGGGAACGAAAAGGACUGUGCCAAUACCACGGUUCGAUGACGGUACCCGCAGAAUAAGCACCGGCUAACUACGUG